rnacentral:rRNA from 1 species
CCCCUAGAUGUUCUGGGCCGCACGCGCGCUACACUGAUCAGUGCAACAAGCAUCCGUCCUUGGCCGACAGGCCCGGGCAAUCUUUGAACGCUGAUCGUGAUGGGGAUAGACUUUUGCAAUUUUUGGUCUUCAACGAGGAAUUCCUAGUAAACGCAAGUCAUCAACUUGCAUUGAUUACGUCCCUGCCCUUUGUACACACCGCCCGUCGCACCUACCGAUUGAAUGGUCCGGUGAAGCCUCCGGAUUGGCGCGCACCCCGGUGCCGCCGAGAAGUUGGCUAAACCUUACCAUUUAGAGGAAGGUGAAGUCGUAACA